UGGGUGGUGCGGAAGCGGAGAUUCCAGAAGCAAGUAAGCAAAUCGCUGUGUUCCACGCAUCAAACAUCCCCCUGUUUCGACAUUUUUUUGAUGCAUUUUCAUGCGAUAUUUUUUCUUUUGUUUUGUCGGAGAUCAACGAUGCUCGCAUCCGGAAUCCGCCGUGGUACCUGGAUGAAGAGACGAGGAGGAGGUGGUGGGCAGGGGCGCCAUGGCGGUUGAGACUAGAUUUCGCAUCCAAUCACUCACAGCUCGCCGCUUCUACCUGCUCGGUAUCAUUGGGAAGGGGAUUCUGAAGCGUAGGGGUCUCACAAGCUCAAUUGUUACAAUGCCAAGGGGCCGAAAUCAGUAAUAAGGGUGUCCUCAACCAUCCAAUGAGGAAUUUUCAGUCUGAUGUCAAGAGCACAGAACCAGCAUCAAGGCCAAGCAGGUGGGUCGUCCCCUACUCAUCUAAUUUUUGUAGCCUUUGUAACGGUUGCCAAGUUAUCCUGCAGGGGAGAUCAAGUACAAUGCAUGAAGAAGACAUGAGAUGCAUGUGAACCAGCUCAAAUUUCUCAUCGAAUCGGCACAAUACAUGCUCUUCAUCUUGGUGUUUGGUGGCUUGAAAGUUCAUCAGAUUGUCACUGGCAACAGUGUAGUUGUAGCUCAACCUCGAUUUUUGAUUCAUGAGCAGCAUCGUAGUAGUUCUAGUAGCCCUAAUCUUUUUGUUUGGUCAGUACAACUAUGGAGGCAAGCUGGCAAUCACAUGUAUGGUAGUAGUUUUGAAACUUUUGUUAAUGCUUAGAAUUUAGAUGGGUGAAAUA